ACGGGGUGCAGCAGGCGCGAAAACUUUACAAUGCGGGAAACCGUGAUAAGGGGACACCGAGUGCCAGCAUCAUAUGCUGGCUGUCCGGAUGUGUAAAAUACAUCCGUUAGCAGGGGCCGGACAAGACCGGUGCCAGCCGCCGCGGUAACACCGGCGGCCCGAGUGGUGAUCGUGAUUAUUGGGUCUAAAGGGUCCGUAGCCGGUUUGGUCAGUCCUCCGGGAAAUCUGAUAGCUCAACUAUUAGGCUUUCGGGGGAUACUGCCAGACUUGGAACCGGGAGAGGUAAGAGGUACUACAGGGGUAGGAGUGAAAUCUUGUAAUCCCUGUGGGACCACCUGUGGCGAAGGCGUCUUACCAGAACGGGUUCGACGGUGAGGGACGAAAGCUGGGGGCACGAACCGGAUUAGAUACCCGGGUAGUCCCAGCCGUAAACGAUGCUCGCUAGGUGUCAGGCAUGGCGCGACCGUGUCUGGUGCCGCAGGGAAGCCGUGAAGCGAGCCACCUGGGAAGUACGGCCGCAAGGCUGAAACUUAAAGGAAUUGGCGGGGGAGCAC
rnacentral:rRNA from 1 species